AUUGAACGCUGGCGGCAUGCCUUACACAUGCAAGUCGAACGGCAGCGGACCUUCGGGUGCCGGCGAGUGGCGAACGGGUGAGUAAAGUAUCGGAACGUACCUUUCAGUGGGGAUAACGUAGCGAAAGUUACGCUAAUACCGCAUAUUCUCUGAGGAGGAAAGCAGGGGACCUCCGGGCCUUGCGCUGAUGGAGCGGCCGAUAUCAGAUUAGCUAGUUGGUGGGGUAAAGGCCUACCAAGGCGACGAUCUGUAGCGGGUCUGAGAGGAUGAUCCGCCACACUGGGACUGAGACACGGCCCAGACUCCUACGGGAGGCAGCAGUGGGGAAUUUUGGACAAUGGGCGAAAGCCUGAUCCAGCCAUGCCGCGUGAGUGAAGAAGGCCUUCGGGUUGUAAAGCUCUUUCGGCCGGGAAGAAAUCGUGUGGGCUAAUACCCUGCAUGGAUGACGGUACCGGAAUAAGAAGCACCGGCUAACUACGUGCCAGCAGCCGCCGUAAUAC
rnacentral:rRNA from 1 species